GCGCGACGGGCCCCGGACGCCGAGGGUGGUGCUUCCUCCGAGCCUCCGGUGGUGAGGCCGCUCUCAGAAGGUCAUGGAAGCGCAGGGGAGAGCGAGGCGGCCGAGCCCAGGCAAAUCCUCGAGAAAGGCCGAGUGCGCGACGGCUCUGCGGGGAGGACCGCGCCUCCCCGAAUGCGGCCGCUGCUGCCGCUGCAAACAGUGCCUUGAGGAGAGGAAAGCGGGGAACCGUGUUUUCGCCGCCUCUGUAACCACUGCACACAAGAAAACCAGCUUCUGGGAGAGGGGGAUGAUUGUUGGGACUUUGCGAAUUACCUAAACAGCCCAGGGCCGAGGCGCCGCCGCUCGCGUCCUGGUCCUCCUGCCGGGUGUGGGGCUCCCCUGCCCGAGAUGGCCAGCGGGCGCGCCGAGAGUAUCCUGGAGCCAUCUAGUCUUGCCUCGGAGGCGGGGUGGGCUUAUUUGUGCGGAGAAGAAACGGAUCUCUUAAUGGGGUGAGAUUUUUCCUCCGUACAUUGUUCCCAUUUCCGCAGUUUCACUUGGCCUCGGUUUUCUAGCAGAGUAAUCACCAAAUGAAAUUAGCUGGAGAGCGUUUGAUGGCGCAGAAUCACGGUCUGAAGAUGUUUACGCUGUAUGCCGGACGCGUUUGAUGGUGUUCUCUUCGGCACAAUUAAUUUUGCAAAGUUCAGAAAUGUGCCAGACAGAGCCCCUGGCACGCAGUCAGGACUCUACAGACACACCUUGAGUAGGAAACAGGCUUGUUUGUUUCAUCUGUGAUUUAUGUGAUGCACCAGCACCAAGGCCAACGUGUUUUUUAAAGACCUUUCGAUGAAACUCCAAAGCAAUUUAUAAAUUGGCAAAAUGAAGCUUGUUUUGUAAAAUAACUCUUCCUUGUUGAUCAUGUAAUUAAAUGGGCAACAAAACACCUGAAAGGACAUUUACUGAAAAGUAGACUCCCAAAACAAAAAUAUGUAUUUCACAGCUAGAUACGGUCGCUAUUAGCGUCCUAAUGGCCAACUCCAUCCAUGUGCGUAUUUUGAACACUAAAAACGCCUCCUGUUACCCCUAAGACCUUGUUUGGAUAACAUUUUUCUAUUAUAAGUACUCGAAACCAACCCCAUUUAAGAUGUUUACCCUUAUUCUUGAGUCCUUGAUGGUUUGGGAAAUUUAUCAUUAUUCAUAUUGCACAAUCCUGUCACUGUCUUUUCCAUUAGGCACAGUGCCUAAGGUCCACAAUAUUUUUAGAGGCCCACAAAAAAUAUUUUAAUUUCUUUUCAAAUCAGAAGGAAAAAAAAUUUAGGUUUAAGAAAGUAUUUUAAUAUAUAUUAAUAUAUUUGUUUUUGUGCUAAUACAAUCUUAAAAUGUAUGUAUAUAUGUGUGUGUGUAUAUGUAUAUAUAUUUUAAUGGAGUAAGGGGCUCAACGAAGGCAAAAAGGCCUAGAGCCCAAGAAAAACAUGAUGUGGCCCUGUUGCCUGGGGUUGAAAAAUCCCAUUCCAUGAGAAGAAUUUAGUUUUAAGAAUAUUACAUAAAAUGCUCAUUUCUGUGGCCUUGCUAUAAUAGAAAGAUGGAGAUUCAGAGUAGUGAUAAUGGCUAACAUCCACCUGAUACACACCAUGUGUCCAUUACCUCUUAAUCCUCACAGCACACCUGUGAAAUAGGUACUAUUCUCACACUUAGGGGGUAAUGCAGGUUUUGUGGGGCCUGCAAUUUAUGCAAUUUGGGUGGUCCUCUUAAAGAAAAAGCAAAUACUGUGUAUUAGUCCGUUCUCACACUGCUAUAAAGAACUGCGCGAGACUGGGUAAUUUAUAAAGGAAAGAGGUUUAAUUGACUCACAGUUCCACAUGGCUGGGGAGACCUCAGGAAACUUAACAAUCGUGGUGGAAGGAGAAGCAAGUACCUUCUUCACAAGGAAGCGGAAAGAAUUGUGAGCGGAGGAACUUGCCAAACACAAAACCGUCAGAUCGCGUGAGAAUUCAGUUACUAUCACGAGAACAACACGGGAAAACUGUCCCCAUAAUCAAGUCAUUUCUCUCCCUAACAAGUGAGGAUUACAAUUCAAGAUGAGGUUUGGGUAGGAACACAAAGCCUGACCCUAUCCCACAGCAUGUCCAGGCUGCCCUAGCACCACCCAAUAGAAGGGAAAAUGGCAGAGGGAAAGUCCUAGUGGAAAGAGACCUCAGUCUCAGCUAAUUGUGGUGACAAUAUAUUGCUUUUGCAAAUUGUACAUAAACAUAUGACCAGGUGAAUGUAUCGCCAAGGCUCCUGCCAAGGCCUGGGAUGGAGGCCUAGAGAAGAUGCCCGAAAGUUUAUGCUGUGUGAGCUUCACAGAAGACCUGCCUUCCAUGUAUACCCAUUUUACAGAACUGUUGUGGAAGAGGCACCAUCUUUCACUGCGUUCGUUGAAAGGAAGGAAUUGGAACCAAUUCUGGUGAUCUACUUUCCAUGUGGUCUGUUUGGAAAGAGCCUGGCUGAGAAUGCAGACCCUCAGAGAAGUGACUAGCAGAGCUGAGAGAUGGAGACAGACCAAAUUCUGGGAUCACUGUUGGAGUCCUUGGAUCUUGUCCAGCCUGAACCUCUGGACAUUGCUGUUACAUGAGCCAAUAAAUCCCCUUCGUUUC
rnacentral:lncRNA from 1 species